UGGUUCUGGCAUCGAUGAAGAACGCAGCGAAAUGCGAUAAGUAAUGUGAAUUGCAGAAUUCAGUGAAUCAUCGAAUCUUUGAACGCACAUUGCGCCCUUUGGUAUUCCGAGGGGCAUGCCUGUUCGAGCGUCAUUUAAACCAUCAAGCACCGCUUGGCCUUGGACCUCGGUCUCUAGAGAGCACCCGGUCCGAAACCUAGAGUGGCGUUCCCGUCGAGCCUCAAGCGUAGCAAGAAUUACUCCCUCGCUUCAAGGGCCUCGGGCGGGAUCUGCCCCGAAAAUCACCCCCAGAGUUUGACCUCGGAUCAGGUAGGGAUACCCGCUGA
rnacentral:misc_RNA from 1 species